CUUCGUGUAUCUUAUUAUUAUAGUUGAUUGUGUCGUGCUGCGUGAAAUUGUACUGUUUGUUUGUGAACUAUUACAAAGAUGUUUCUGUCGCAAGAGAACCUGGCUGAAGAAAUCCGGCAACAAGCCGCUUCUAUAGGUGCCUAAUGCGAGAAAAAUUCCGCUAAGUGAAAGUUCUGGACGCGGAGUUUGUAAAUACCACGCUGCAUAUUUCCACAUCCACGACGAAAUAGCUGUAGGACCCUGUUCAAUAAGGCAGAUUAUCAAGAUGAAGUGGGCCGGGACCAAAUGGAUGCCUGUUUCUCAGCAAGCGGUGUCCAACUGCUAAAUUACCCCGGUCUUAUCAGUAUGGGCUAUCAUUAAAGCCGGGGGUUUUCGAUGCACACAUGUGACCCUUCAUGGGCCAUAGGAAUAUGAAGACCGCUUCUUGUAUAUAUUUUCCAUC